CAGGAAGGCUGAUGAAAUAUCUCCAGCGGUAACUGGAAUGUAUUCUCUUUAUGACUUAAAGUGAGAUUCACUAACAUCAGAAUUAGAUAUGAUCACAACUGAAUAGCAGCAGAAAAGUGAAGCAUGUUUGUGGUAAAAUAAUAUUUUACCCUUUUGAGCCCUGACCCAUCUCAAGUCAGAGAAUAAUUGGACAUGCAGCACCAGUGCAGAUGGCUGGCCCUCUGAAAGGGGCCUGACUUGCUUUGAAGACAUGUUCCAGUGAGUUACAAUGCCUUAUCACUAGGAGGGGGCAUCCAGGCAUUUCUGUUUCUGUGUUUUAUGGAACAGAUAGAAGAUAUCUGGAAAUUUGGAUAAUUAGAUGCGUAACUGAGCCUGUGCCAGAUCAGAUAUUUACUCAGAGAUGUUCUGUAAAUUUCCUGGGAAGGUUUACUCAUCGACUUCAAAGACUCCAGUAAUCUGAAUCUCCUACCAAAGAAGGGACCAUUUGCAGUGGUGAGUGGACAUGCGUCCCUGUUCGAAAGGUGGUCAUGUGCCCACACAGAGCCAAAAAGAGGACAGAUAUCUAUCCUCGUGCACUUUGAGCUUACACUUGGUGUUCAUGUCCCGG
rnacentral:lncRNA from 1 species